AACGAACGUUGGCGGCGCGCUUAACACAUGCAAGUCGCACGCGAAAGGGAGCAAUCCCCGGUAGCGUGGCGCACGGGUGAGUAACACGUGGAUAAUCUACCCUUGAGCGGGGGAUAACCUUCCGAAAGGAGGGCUAAUACCGCAUAAGACCACGGCCAGUACGCUGGCUGAGGUCAAAGCAGGCCUCUAAAUGUAAGCUUGCACUCGAGGAUGAGUCCGCGGCCCAUCAGCUAGUUGGUAGUGUAACGGACUACCAAGGCGUAGACGGGUAGCUGGUCUGAGAGGAUGAUCAGCCACACUGGAACUGAGACACGGUCCAGACUCCUACGGGAGGCAGCAGUGGGGAAUCUUGCGCAAUGGGGCGAAAGCCCGUGACGCAGCGACGCCGGCGUGGGGUGAUGAAGGCCUUCGGGUUGU
rnacentral:rRNA from 1 species